rnacentral:ncRNA from 1 species
AUGGAAGUCGGUACCCGCUAAGGAGUGUGUAACAACUCACCUGCCGAAUCAACUAGCCCUGAAAAUGGAUGGCGCUUGAGCGAAAGACCUAUACCCGGCCGUUACUGGCUUGUGCGAUGGCUAACGCCUGGCCGUAACGAGUAGGAGGGUCGUGGUGGUUGCGUUGAAGGCUUAGGGCGUAGGCCCGGCUGGAGCUUCCAUCAGUGCAGAUCUCGGUGGUAGUAGCAAAUAUUUAAGUUCGAUCCUUGAAGACUGAAGUGGGGAAGGGUUCCACGUGAACAGAGUUGAAUGUGGGUCAGUCGAUCCUAAGAUACUGGCUUAUGCCUUGUAUCAUCGAGAGGGAGAAGUUUCUUCUCUCUCGGAUAUCGAAAGGGAAUAGAGUUAAUAUUCUCUAACGCAGACAUAGAGAUUGUGGCUCUUUGAGUUGCUUGCGCGGUAACGCAUUCGAACUCGGUAACGUCGCUUAGAGACCGAGCUAGAGUUUUCUUCUCUAGUUAAGGAACGGACUCCCUGGAAUCGGUUCAUCCGGAGAUAGGGACGUUGUUUCCGUAAAGCACCGCGGUUUCUGUGGUGUCUCGUGCUCUCUGAACGGCCCUUGAAAAACCGAGGGAGGCUAUUAAUCUAUGCUGCAUCGUACCGAUAUCCGCAUCAGGUCCUCAAGGUGAACAGCCUCUAGUCGAUAGAAUAAUGUAGGUAAGGGAAGUCGGCAAAUUAGAUCCGUAACUUCGGGAAAAGGAUUGGCUCCAGUGAUCGGGUCGGUUGGCCUGUUCACUGAUACUUGUAUGGUUUCGUUCGUGGCUGGCUGAUGCUAACGCUGAUGUCGGACUAGUGAUGAGACAGUCUUGUGGACGUUUAUAGGUGUGUGCUUUGCUUUCGAGCUUAGUAUCCUGACCGGCCAUUAAAACGGUCGAACUGGAACUGGUACGGACUCGGGGAAUCCGACUGUCUAAUUAAAACAGAGGAGACAGAUGGUCCUUGCGGACGUUUACUGUCUCUGAUUUCUGCCCAGUGCUCUGAAUGUUAAAUCGUAGUAAUUCGAGUAAGCGCGGGUAAACGG